UAUAGUAGAGGCGCGGUAUUUAUUAUUACAUAUUUUAAUGCAGGUGAAUGCAGAUGAUGAAUAUGGAAAGGGAACACCGCCGAAGGAAUAUAUCAUUCACAGGGUAUGUUCCUGGUUGUGCAGCUAAGAACUGUACGACUGUCAUCAUUUGAUGGAGAGCUACUUGAUG
rnacentral:ncRNA from 1 species